AAUAUUGGACAAUGGGCGCAAGCCUGAUCCAGCCAUGCCGCGUGUGUGGAGAAGGCCUUCGGGUUGUAAAGCACUUUUGUCCGGAAAGAAAGCGAAUCGGCGAAUACCCGGUUUGGAUGACGGUACCGGAAGAAUAAGCACCGGCUAACUUCGUGCCAGCAGCCUCGGUAAUACGAAGAGUGCAAGCGUUACUCGGAAUUACUGGGCGUAAAGCGUGCGUAGGCGGUCUGUUAAGUCUGCUGUGAAAUCCCCGGGCUCAACCU
rnacentral:rRNA from 1 species